CUCCUUCCUAAUUGCACCUCAAUCUUUCCAAAGUGAUUAAUGUCUCCAGCUAAUUGUGCUUCUCUCUCACCCAGAGCCUCCUCUCCGCCCCUGUUAUUCUGCACUGGGAAUGGUGUCUACUAGCUAUCCCAGCCACAUGGCGCUCGCUGUGGGACGUCACACUCCGGACUUAUCAUAACAUCAAGACUGUCCCCAGGGCGAUAACAAG